UACGUAGGGGGCAAGCGUUGUCCGGAAUCAUUGGGCGUAAAGAGCGUGUAGGCGGUCCGGUCAGUCGGUUGUGAAAGUCAAGGGCUCAACCCUUGAAUGCCGGCCGAUACUGCCGGGCUAGAGUCCGGAAGAGGUGAGUGGAAUUCCUGGUGUAGCGGUGAAAUGCGCAGAUAUCAGGAGGAACACCGAUGGCGAAGGCAGCUCACUGGGACGGUACUGACGCUGAGACGCGAAAAGCGUGGGGGAGCAAAACAGG
rnacentral:rRNA from 1 species